UACGUAGGGUGCGAGCGUUAAUCGGAAUUACUGGGCGUAAAGUGUGCGCAGGCGGCCGAGCAAGUCGAGUGUGAAAGCCCCGAGCUUAACUUGGGAACUGCGCUCGAAACUACUUGGCUGGAGUGUGGCAGAGGAAGGUGGAAUUCCACGUGUAGCGGUGAAAUGCGUAGAGAUGUGGAGGAACACCGAUGGCGAAGGCAGCCCCCUGGGUCAAGACUGACGCUCAUGCACGAAAGCGUGGGGAGCAAACAGG
rnacentral:rRNA from 1 species